CAGCAAGCCAACAUGGAGGUCACAGCUCUCUGCAUCACACUGUUGACAGUUGUUCUGCUGCUGCUUGUACAAGUCAAGGACAGCUAUUCUCACAAUGCUGUUGAAACUGAACUCUGGACCUGUUAUCUGCAGUAGUUGGCAGCUGUAUCAAAUACUAC